rnacentral:rRNA from 1 species
GAUGAACGCUGGCGGCGUGCCUAAUACAUGCAAGUCGAGCGAACAGAUGAGGAGCUUGCUCCUCUGACGUUAGCGGCGGACGGGUGAGUAACACGUGGAUAACCUACCUAUAAGACUGGGAUAACUUCGGGAAACCGGAGCUAAUACCGGAUAAUAUAUUGUACCGCAUGGUUCAAUAGAGAAAGACGGUUUUGCUGUCACUUAUAGAUGGAUCCGCGCCGCAUUAGCUAGUUGGUAAGGUAACGGCUUACCAAGGCAACGAUGCGUAGCCGACCUGAGAGGGUGAUCGGCCACACUGGAACUGAGACACGGUCCAGACUCCUACGGGAGGCAGCAGUAGGGAAUCUUCCGCAAAGGGCGAAAGCCUGUCGGAGCAACGCCGCGUGAGUGAUGAAGGUCUUCGGAUCGUAAAACUCUGUUAUUAGGGAAGAACAAAUGUGUAAGUAACUAUGCACGUCUUGACGGUACCUAAUCAGAAAGCCACGGCUAACUACGUG